rnacentral:rRNA from 1 species
UACGUAGGUGGCAAGCGUUAUCCGGAAUUACUGGGCGUAAAGCGCACGCAGGCGGUCUUUUAAGUUUGACGUGAAAGCUCCCGGCUUAACUGGGAGAGGUCGUUGAAUACUGGAAGACUUGAGGCAAUGAGAGGGGUGUAGAAUUCCUGGUGUAGUGGUGGAAUGCGUAGAUAUCAGGAGGAAUACCAGUGGCGAAAGCGGCACCCUAGCGUUGUUCUGACGCUCAUGUGCGAAAGCGUGGGGAGCGAACGGG